rnacentral:rRNA from 1 species
AGAUUGAACGCUGGCGGCAUGCCUUACACAUGCAAGUCGAACGGCAGCACGGGGGGUAACCCCUGGUGGCGAGUGGCGAACGGGUGAGUAAUAUAUCGGAACAUGCCCUGUAGCGGGGGAUAACGCGUCGAAAGAUAUGCUAAUACCGCAUACGCUCUACGGAGGAAAGCGGGGGUCGCAAGACCUCGCACUAUAGGAGUGGCCGAUAUCGGAUUAGCUAGUUGGCGGGGUAAAAGCCCACCAAGGCGACGAUCCGUAGCUGGUCUGAGAGGAUGAUCAGCCACACUGGAACUGAGACACGGUCCAGACUCCUACGGGAGGCAGCAGGUGGGAAUUUUGGACAAUGGGCGCAAGCCUGAUCCAGCCAUGCCGCGUGAGUGAAGAAGGCCGUUCGGUUGUAAAGCGUCCUUCGGCAGGAACGAAAGUGGUUCGUGUUAAUACCGACGGACUGAGUCGACGGUACCUAGAACGUAAGAACGGACCACCGGACUAAACGUACCGUGACCG